AAAGCUCCGGCUAACUACGUGCCAGCAGCCGCGGUAAUACGUAGGGUGCGAGCGUUAAUCGGAAUGACUGGGCGUAAAGGGUGCGUAGGCGGUUUGUCAAGACGGAUGUGAAAUCCCCGGGCUUAACCUGGGAACAGCAUACGUGACUGGCAGGCUAGAGUAUGGCAGAGGGAGGUGGAAUUCCACGUGUAGCAGUGAAAUGCGUAGAGAUGUGGAGGAACACCGAUGGCGAAGGCAGCCUCCUGGGCCAAUACUGACGCUGAGGCACGAAAGCGUGGGGAGCAAACAGGAUUAGAUACCCUGGUAGUCCACGCCCUAAACGAUGUCAACUAGUUGUUGGGGAUUGCUAUCCUUAGUAACGAAGCUAACGCAUGAAGUUGACCGCCUGGGGAGUACGGUCGCAAGAUUAAAACUUAAAGGAAUUGACGGGGACCCGCACAAGCGGUGGAUGAUGUGGAUUAAUUCGAUGCAACGCGAAAAACCUUACCUACCCUUGACAUGGUCGGAAGUCUGAAGAGAUUUGGGCGUGCUCGCAAGAGAACCGGCGCACAGGUGCUGCAUGGCUAUCGUCAGCUCGUGUCGUGAGAUGUUGGGUUAAGUCCCGCAACGAGCGCAACCCUUAUCCUUAGUUGCUACGCAAGGGCACUCUAAGGAGACUGCCAGUGACAAACUGGAGGAAGGUGGGGAUGACGUUAAGUCCUCAUGGCCCUUACGGGUAGGGCUUCACACGUCAUACAAUGGUCUGUACAGAGGGUGCCAACCCGCGAGGGGGAGCCAAUCCUGAAAAACGGAUCGUAGUCCGGAUUGCAGUCUGCAACUCGACUGCAUGAAGCUGGAAUCGCUAGUAAUCGCGGAUCAGCAUGCCGCGGUGAAUACGAACCCGGGUCUUGUCCA
rnacentral:rRNA from 1 species